rnacentral:lncRNA from 1 species
GCGGGCCAUAACCUAAACGGCGCCGUUUCGGCGCCUAUGAGCCCCUGUUCAAAACGGCGUCGUAUGGAAGCUCUAUUUAAACCAAAUUUUCUUUUAAAAAAACAUUUGCAGCUCUAAAAAUAAAAAGAACUAAAGUUUCUCUGCUAGGGUUCCGGCCCUAGCAUCUACACCACUCUUCCGCCACAAUUCCACCGUGAACGGUGGUCGAAGCCUUACCAAAAAGGGCUUUUUGGCUCCGUUUCGCGCAGAUAGGAGGGCGUCGCGAGGUAAGACUUCCUUUUUUACCUUUUUAUUCACUAGCUGUAUUAUUUUUUUGAAAAAAAAUGAAUCGAAACAAAGAGAAAGGGAAAUAAACGAAAAUCUACCUUCAAUCUAUUUUUUUUUAUUGAUUUCGUGCCCCCUUAUACAGAUUUCAAUCGGCCCUCUUUAUAGCCGAACAGAGAAAAAGAAAGAAAAAAAAUGAAAUUUUCUCUAUUUUUUACAUUUUCUUCCAAUUUACUGCUAGUAGUUGCUGUCAAUCUGCUAUUGUUGCUCCUUUCUUUGCUGUUGCUAUCUGUUUUGCUACUCGUUUGUUUGUCCUUUGCAAGUGCAUGGAGGCGCACGUGAUGCACGCUUGGAGGAGGCUGGUUCACAGUUGCAGCGUGGCUUGCAGUAGUUUUAGGGUUUAGGUAAUUUUAGUUUUGGGCUAGGUAUUUGGUUAAUAGUUUAGGCUUGGGAAUUUUAGGUCUGGUAUUUAUGAUUUGGGCUGGUUGAAAUUCGCAAAUGGACUGCUAUUUCAUUGGACUUUUUAUUUUCUGAUUUGGUUUAUAUUUUUUGUGUGGGCCCACGUCAAAAUUGGGCAUUACAAAUCACCUUGAUCAAACUGCAAAUAUUUACAUCCUAACUUUGUCAUCAUCAAAACCCGUUAGAGACCCACUGCAUCAUAUACACAAAAAGCUAAGACUCAAAUGGAUAUCUUUCUCUACAUCUUAGAGUCCAAUUUGGCGAUCACUCCCCUAACGAGGUUCUUUGAGUUCCCAAUAAAUCUUGUAGCAUCCUUACUUAGUAAAUCUCAUAAAUACGCCAGAAUAUAACUAGAGCAAAACUGUAGCACCCCAAAGUGUAAAUAUUUGAUUUGUCAAGUUGUGUUGUGAAUAAAUGUUUGCUACACUGGUUAAGGGUUUGGAAUGUGUGAUAUGGGUCUAGGUUUAAAUUACUAUGGAAGUAUUUUUGCUAUUUUUUUUAUGAGCCCUUCCACUACUAAUAAUGGUUGAGUUAAAGUUUAACUCUAAAAGGAAAAACAAAGGAAAAUCUGUUGGAUAAUAAUAAGGUUAGGGGUAAUUAAGAUAGGAUGGGGAUUUUAUUUUUAAUUUUUAAUUUUAUUUAUCUUUUAAUUUAAAAAAAAAAAAACUUUCUUUCCCGUUUCUCAUAUUGUUCCCUGAUUUCCCAAGUUCAUGCCGCCACUUCUAAUUUCUGCUAUUGCAAAUUGUUCUUUUUCUUUCUUUUUCCCAUUUUUUCCCUUUCAUUAUUUUCUUUGCUUUUGGUUCUUUACUGUCAUCGUCAAAGUAGGCUACCAUUGCAUUCCUUCCUUCCUUGGUAUUAUAUUUAGAUUCUGUAUUAUCAUAAGUCCUAUCAACGUUCUUGCCUUCUUGUUCUUGUGUUAUUGGAUUUGUAUUCCGCAUUGUGUUUGUCACAAUUAUAUUAUCAAGUAAUAUGGUGAUUACUCGUAGAGUCAGGAUUUGUGUAUUUUAGGAUUUAUGUUGUGAAGUUGAAAUUCUAAUUGUUUAUUUUACGCACUGCCAGGAGAGGAUCGAAAGGAAAUUUGUGUUCCUUCAGCCACUUAAAUGACAAGUUAUUGUUGUUCAUUGUUGUGUAAGUGUUUUAGCGCUUUUGGAAGCCGAAUGUGGGCAUUUUUGUUGAAUAUUUGAUUUAGUUUUCGUAUAAUCAUUACUGUUUUGAGUGUGUUAAAUGAUGAAUUUAGGUUAUGGGAGUUCCGUGAUGGCUUUUACAUCAAAAUUGGGUCAGGUGCGUAACAGAAAACAACGAACGGCGAAAGCUGAAAACUGCAAAGUCGACACCACAUGGCCAUGUGGUAGGUCGUUUGUGACACACGGCCAUGAUAGGCCAUGUGUUGGACCGUGUGAAACACACGGUCUGGUCUAUUUAGGCCAUGUGGGCCCAAAAUUUUAAAUUUUCCCUACGACUGUAAGUAUUGUUAUAAUUAAGCUAUAAAACAUGGAUUUUGGUCAUUCGUUAGCGUGAAAUUUGAUAUAUAUGCCUGUUUGUAAUGUUAUAAGAUAAGUAAAAAUUGUAACAUGCUAUGCAUAAUCUGAAAAAUGUUAUAUAUGUUCUGUAUAUAUUAUUCUGAGCAUGUACAUCGUAAGUAUAUCUGAUAUCUGUUAGUAUUGUAUUUGCAUAUGAGUUGAGAAUUGAUAUAUGGAGGAAGUGUGGGUAGUGUAAUAACCUGCCGCAUUUGGUGGCUCAGCCACAUAUAUCUGAUUCUGUAGUCGGCGAUAAAUCGCCUAAUGUAUUGGUAGCUUUACUGCAAAUAUUCUGAAAAGUGGCAUAUCGAUACUAAGUGAUGUAUAGGGCUAGAUGAGUAUUUAAUACCCUAUAUGGUAUGUAGGGAUGAUCGGAGAUCGUGUGUAGCAGAUAGGGGUAGGAUUGUAAAAUUGCAUCUGAUUCCGAUUUUGUAUAUGAUAUGCGUUCUGUAUCUGCUCUACUAUGUUAUAAAUCUGAAAUUAAAUCAGUACUUCUAUUUGGUUUAAAGUUACACACUGAGUUAUGAAAAUUCACUUCUAUAUGUUUGUCACUUUCAGGUAACCCUCAAACGUAGGCGGGUCGAUGCGAUGGGAGCUCGGUUAUAACCACACUUUCAUAUAUUUGAUUUAUUUGAUUUGGGUUAAGAGUUUUGUAAUUUUGGAUUGUUUGAACUUUUUUUAUUGUUUUGGGUCUUUACACUUUAUUUUCGUAUUUCGCAUAAUAUUAUUUAAAUGUUUUAUCGACAAAAUUCACUUUUCUGCAAAGAUAUACUAUUUCAGAAAAUGUAAACAAACAUCAUUUUCAAUAAAACGACUAAGUAAGAUAUGUUUUUCAUAAAUUGGGUUUUUGUUUAAUAAGGGUUUACGACGUUUUCAAAAUAUACGAAAUCUAGAUUUUCAACCAUUUUACGAUAACUACUCUAGAUUUGGCAUAAUGUCUAGAUCGGAUUUAGGGUGUUACAAAAAUAAACCAUCACUGUUUUCAGUGAAAAUAGAAAACAUA